rnacentral:tRNA from 1 species
UCGGAUAGUAGUAUAAAUUUACAUUUACUCUGCAAGUAAAAAAUAAACCUUGUUUCUAUCUGAU